rnacentral:rRNA from 1 species
UGGGUGAUCUGCCCUGCACUUUGGGAUAAGCCUGGGAAACUGGGUCUAAUACCGAAUACACCCUGCUGGUCGCAUGGCCUGGUGGGGGAAAGCUUUUGCGGUGUGGGAUGGGCCCGCGGCCUAUCAGCUUGUUGGUGGGGUGAUGGCCUACCAAGGCGACGACGGGUAGCCGGCCUGAGAGGGUGUCCGGCCACACUGGGACUGAGAUACGGCCCAGACUCCUACGGGGAGGCA